CCGUCACCGUCGCCUUCAUACUGCUGCCUGUCAUCUCGUUUGGAGCAUACCGAAUAGUUUCCCGAUUCUACAUGCUUUCAUUGUAGCACGUGAAAUGUACUUCAGUCGACGGAUUUGCUCAAGAAUCUCACAGGGCAUACUACUGUCUUUGCCUGUACUACAUCAUAAUAUUCAGCGGAGAACUUAGCGUCUAACAGUGUGUUCCUCGGCUACAGAAUUUACAAGUCACAGAGAGAGACAAGCGAGAACUCAGCGACCAAGCGGACACAAUCGGAUGAAACGAACAAGAAAAGGAGAUAAAUGUUCAAUUCUGGAAGAGAAAUUAAAGUAAGCAUAUUUUGGAAAAUUCGAUUUGCUAGUUUUGGGACACAAAGAGAAGUAGUGACUUCUGCAAGAGAAGAAAGGGGCGAUUAGCAUACAGUGACAAAUGAUGAGUCAAACAAUGUUCACUAGGGUAUUUUUAAUAUAUACGUUUUUUAUUUCCUUGCAAUUCUGUAAUAAUUUUUGUUCUUAUGUACCACACUUUACAUUACUAUGCAUUGCUCGUAGUAAGUUA